AUUGAACGCUGGCGGCAUGCUUUACACAUGCAAGUCGAACGGCAGCACAGGGAGCUUGCUCCCGGGUGGCGAGUGGCGCACGGGUGAGUAAUACAUCGGAACGUGUCCUGUUGUGGGGGAUAACUGCUCGAAAGGGUGGCUAAUACCGCAUGAGACCUGAGGGUGAAAGCGGGGGAUCGCAAGACCUCGCGCAAUUGGAGCGGCCGAUGCCCGAUUAGCUAGUUGGUGAGGUAAAGGCUCACCAAGGCGACGAUCGGUAGCUGGUCUGAGAGGACGACCAGCCACACUGGGACUGAGACACGGCCCAGACUCCUACGGGAGGCCAGCAGGUGGGGAAUUUUGGACAAGUGGGGCAACCCGUGAUCCAGCCAUGCCGCGUGCAGGA
rnacentral:rRNA from 1 species